GACGAACGCUGGCGGCGUGCUUAACACAUGCAAGUCGAACGGAAAGGCCCUGCUUUUGUGGGGUGCUCGAGUGGCGAACGGGUGAGUAACACGUGAGUAACCUGCCCUUGACUUUGGGAUAACUUCAGGAAACUGGGGCUAAUACCGGAUAGGAGCUCCUGCUGCAUGGUGGGGGUUGGAAAGUUUCGGCGGUUGGGGAUGGACUCGCGGCUUAUCAGCUUGUUGGUGGGGUAGUGGCUUACCAAGGCUUUGACGGGUAGCCGGCCUGAGAGGGUGACCGGCCACAUUGGGACUGAGAUACGGCACAGACUCCUACGGGCGGCAGCAGUGGGGAGUAUUGAACAAUGGGAGGAAGCCUGAUGCCGCGCCGCCGCGUGCGGGAUGACGGCCUUCGGGUUGUAAACCGCUUUCGCCUGUGCCGAAGCGUGAGUGACGGUACUGGGUAAAGAAGCACCGGCUAACUACGUG
rnacentral:rRNA from 1 species